UACAGAGGAGCCAAGCGUUGUCCGGAUUGACUGGGCGUAAAGCGCACGCAGGCGGACGCGCGCGUGGGGUGUGAAAUCUGGCCGCUUAACGGCCAGGCGCCAUCCCAUACGGCGCGUCUGGAGCAAUGCAGAGGUCGGUGGAAUUGCCGGUGAGUGGUGAAAUGCGUAGAGAUCGGCAGGAACACCCAGGGGGAAACCAGCCGACUGGGCCAUUUGCUG
rnacentral:rRNA from 1 species